AUUCUGUGGCAUUUCAAGACCUGUCAUCGCUGGUCCUUGACAAAAGGCUUCUGAGAGACAUGGAAAAGAUGGCCCUGUUCAAACAUACUGGGCCGCUGGAAGUCUUUCACAGCGCACUUUUGAAAUACCUCCCCAAUGUUAGUUCCUGCACUACAAUGGAGAAGCACGGUUCAACCAAAUGUUCUGCAAGAGAUCCAAGCAGUGGGUCUUGAAGAAAAUCUUCA